GAUGAACGCUGGCGGCGUGCUUAACACAUGCAAGUCGAGCGAAGCACUUAGGAAAGAUUCUUCGGAUGAUUUCCUAUUUGACUGAGCGGCGGACGGGUGAGUAACGCGUGGGUAACCUGCCUCAUACAGGGGGAUAACAGUUAGAAAUGACUGCUAAUACCGCAUAAGACCACAGCACCGCAUGGUGCAGGGGUAAAAACUCCGGUGGUAUGAGAUGGACCCGCGUCUGAUUAGUUAGUUGGUGGGGUAACGGCCUACCAAGGCGACGAUCAGUAGCCGACCUGAGAGGGUGACCGGCCACAUUGGGACUGAGACACGGCCCAAACUCCUACGGGAGGCAGCAGUGGGGAAUAUUGCACAAUGGGGGAAACCCUGAUGCAGCGACGCCGCGUGAGCGAAGAAGUAUUUCGGUGUGUAAAGCUCUAUCAGCAGGGAAGAAAAUGACGGUACCUGACUAAGAAGCCCCGGCUAACUACGUGCCAGCAGCCGCAGUAA
rnacentral:rRNA from 1 species